rfam:Oesophagostomum dentatum strain OD-Hann O_dentatum-1.0_Cont777510.1, whole genome shotgun sequence.
CCAACGGCCCUCUUUAGGGCCACAAACGAAGAACGAAUACUCCUUU